GAUUAACGUUGGCAGCGUGCCUAACACAUGCAAGUCGAGGGGAAACGACAUCGAAAGCUUGCUUUUGAUGGGCGUCGACCGGCGCACGGGUGAGUAACGCGUAUCCAACCUGCCCACCACUUGGGGAUAACCUUGCGAAAGUAAGACUAAUACCUAAUGACGUCUCUAGAAGACAUCUGAAAGAGAUUAAAGAUUUAUCGGUGAUGGAUGGGGAUGCGCCUGAUUAGCUUGUUGGCGGGGUAACGGCCCACCAAGGCGACGAUCAGUAGGGGGUCUGAGAGGAAGGUCCCACACAUUGGAACUGAGACACGGUCCAAACUCCUACGGGAGGCAGCAGUGAGGAAUAUUGGUAAAUGGGCGAGAGCCUGAACCAGGCAAGUAGCGUGCAGGAUGACGGCCCUAUGGGUUGUAAACUGCUUUUAUAGGGGAAUAAAGUGAGCCUCGUGAGGCUUUUUGCAUGUACCUUAUGAAUAAGGACCGGCUAAUUCCGUGCCAGCCGCCGCCGUAA
rnacentral:rRNA from 1 species